rnacentral:lncRNA from 1 species
AGUUGCUGUUUCAGUUGCAGUCACACUUUAUUUUUUUCUCUGCCAGGUGCCACAUGGUGGUGCUCCUGACUCUGCAUUGCUCAGGGGCCUGAGCUGCCUGAGAGGAGUUCCAGAUGCAGUGUAUGUACCAAAACUGAUUUUACAGAGAGGGCUAAGAGACAGCUCUGCAAUGAAGGUGAAUCAUACUGUGGGAUGGGGGGAGGCACUUUUCUCCCAGGACGCAGCUACUAAGCUUGAUAACAGGAAGAAAGAGCUGAAUAAUGGCAGCUGAUAAAAAUUCUCAGGACUAUGCCUCAGUUUCCUCCUUUCACCAUUAAGAGCAACACCGUACUGGGGUGUACUGGAAGAAAGGUGAUUGAUUAAUGAAGCUGAAUCUACAGAAAUACUGCUUUACACUCCUGCCAACAUCUUCAGAGGCAAAACAAAGAUCUCUUCUCCAAGCAGAGCAUUGGCCCCAGAGCAGAAUCCAGAAGAUCUGCCACAGAGUUCGCAUUUGCUGAAAAUGGGGUUGUGGCUGGCUUCAAGAUAUACUACACUCCGUUUUUUCUUUGAUUCACUGCAAAUGGUAUAUCGAAAGCUGGAAGAGGGGAAAUGUAAAAUGGCAAUGGUCAGAAGGAGAGACGUUGUCUUUGCUAUUUACAGUUUUUCACUGUUUUUGCUCUCUUGAUAUAACUGCCUUGGUGGAUGUCUUUGUUUUAUCUUCUCGUGACAUUAUCCAUUCCUGGAUGGUCUCGCACACUUUCUUCAACUUUUUUUUAAGCUUACAAUAUUGAGAUAGUACGUGUUUAAAGCAUCUGUUGCCCGUAAAAUCUAUGAAGUUGAUAAUCUCCCAUGCCGUACUACUUUUCUAAAGAGAUCACACAUGGCAUUUAAGGCACCACUUCAGAGCAAUUGGAGGACCCUGGCAUUUCAUACUUCCAUGUGAGUGAGAGCCUCAUGUCUUCCUCCAGUAUUUAUUGUUGGGGACCAUGGUCUAAAAGAGUCUUUUUUCCUCAGCUCCUGUGCUCUCAUUUGCCGGAAGUGCAACAUAAUCAAAGCACUAGAUUGGAUGAGAUUUGCGAAAACUGGGAAGAAGGAAUGUGUGUAUAGUAAUAACUUUCAAAAAUGUAAAGACAGAAGAGGGAAUUAUGAUCUGCAUGGAAUGAGAUAUUGCCGAAUAGUUCCCAAAUGAGUACAUUGAAUUAUGUUAAAACAUAGCUGAGCUUUACUUGUAUGUUUUCUCUCUCCCUGCAUUUCUGAGCAAAUGGUAAAUAAAUUCAUAUAAGGUACUUUAGCCA